rnacentral:tRNA from 1 species
AGGGGUGUAGUUCAAUUGGGAGAGCACCGGUCUCCAAAACCGGAAGUUGGGAGUUCAAAACUCUCCACCCCUG